rnacentral:misc_RNA from 1 species
GACAGAGGGUGCAAACGUUGUUCGGAAUUACUGGGCGUAAAGCGAGUGUAGGCGGUUCGAUCAGUCGGAUGUGAAAGCCCCGGGCUCAACCCGGGAAGUGCACUCGAUACUGUCGAGCUAGAGUAUCGGAGAGGUUGGUGGAAUUCUCGGUGUAGAGGUGAAAUUCGUAGAUAUCGAGAGGAACACCGGUGGCGAAGGCGGCCAACUGGACGAAUACUGACGCUGAGACUCGAAAGCGUGGGGAGCAAACAGG